UACGGAGGGUGCGAGCGUUAAUCGGAAUUACUGGGCGUAAAGCGCGCGUAGGCGGUUUGUUAAGUCGGAUGUGAAAGCCCCGGGCUCAACCUGGGAACUGCACCCGAUACUGGCCGACUUGAGUGCGAGAGAGGGAGGUAGAAUUCCAUGUGUAGCGGUGAAAUGCGUAGAUAUAUGGAGGAAUACCGGUGGCGAAGGCGGCCUCCUGGCUCGACACUGACGCUGAGGUGCGGAAGCGUGGGUAGCAAACAGG
rnacentral:rRNA from 1 species